UGGAUGAUUGUUUUCGCACUGUGAUGAGUCCACUAGCAUAAUGAUAGAAGUGACCCUUUCUGUAUUUUGUAGCCACUUCUGGCCUCAGUUAUAUAUGUAUUUGGAACUCCUAUAUUUUGUAAGGGAUUCGUAUUAAUUUACUCCGUUGCAUAUAAUUUUUAUCAUACACUCUUAAUCUACUUUUGUAUCUGACACCCAUAUGCCUUAAUUAGCAUCUAGGAUGUCAUAGGGUCUCUGAAUCUCCAUGUGAAAAUUUGUAACCUCAUUAAUUCAUUGUGCAAUUUUAGGAGGAAAAUGCCUAUUAAGAAAUUUUUGCACCAAUGCAUUCCAAGUUAUUAUAGAGUUUGGUGGUAGUGAUUGCAACCAAUUUUCUGCUUUGUCCUUUUAAAAGAAAGGAAAAAGCCUCAAACUCUUUGCAUCUUGAGAAACUCCAUUGUACUUGAAAGUAUAACAAAUUUGGAGGAAACUAGCUAUGUGUUGGUGUCAAUCUUCACUAGGCAAUUCUUCAAAUUGACAAGUCUAUUGGAUCAACUAUAGUACUAUUGGCUUGAUCUCAAAAUUGUUAGUUUGAGCAGGUCUCAAAAUGCUUAGACUUGUGCCUUCCAAAUAUGGCAUGGCAUAGUCUCUCAUGGUGUAAAUAGGUUGAGCACAUCUAGCACCAUUAUUAUUCUCACCUCCUUCAAGAAGAUUGUUUUGAUUCUCUACCAUGUUGAGUUGACGGUUUGCUCUUCUUCUUAAAUGAAAAGUUCAUUCAGGUUUC
rnacentral:lncRNA from 1 species